UGUGCUUGAAAUGAUCUAAAAAUAAAAUAGAUGUCACUGAUAUUAAAAAAUAGCAUUGUCUUGCAGCACAGGUGUUUUUUUUUUUAUUAAAUAGUUUAGCAAAAACAUGGCAGCUUAUUUGUGGGAGUUCUUACAAGGUAGAAUUCUGUCCAAAUAGCCACUAUAAAGUUCAUAACAAGUUUAAUUGAUCUACAAUUCUACUGAAACCAAUGUUCAAAUCUGUAACAUCAAAAACAUCAUAAAAAUAAAGAAAUAAUAACAUUUAUAAAUUAAAAC
rnacentral:lncRNA from 1 species